GACGAACGCUGGCGGCGUGCUUAACACAUGCAAGUCGAACGGGCUCUGUCUGGCUGUGUGCUGGGUGGGGUUAGUGGCGAACGGGUGAGUAAUACGUGAGUAACCUGCCCUCUUCUUUGGGAUAAGCCUUGGAAACGGGGUCUAAUACUGGAUAUUCCUGUCUGGUCGCAUGGCUGGGUGGGGAAAGUUUUUUUCGGUGGGGGAUGGGCUCGCGGCCUAUCAGCUUGUUAGUGGGGUGAUGCCUACCAAGGCGUCGACGGGUAGCCGGCCUGAGAGGGUGACCGGCCACACUGGGACUGAGAUACGGCCCAGACUCCUACGGGAGGCAGCAGUGGGGGAUAUUGCACAAUGGGCGCAAGCCUGAUGCAGCGACGCCGCGUGGGGGAUGACGGCUUUCGGGUUGUAAACCUCUUUCGUCGGGGGACAAGGCUCUGCUUAGUGGUGGGGUUGAGGGUACCCGGUGAAGAAGCGCCGGCUAACUACGUG
rnacentral:rRNA from 1 species